CACGAGGGUCUCACUGUCUUAAGGAAAUUUCCAGUGAAAUUGAAUUUGUAGUGAAGAUGCUACAUCCAAAUUGUUAGACAAGAAGUCCCCAUGGAACUUUACUGGAGACUUAUGUGGCUUAAAUUAAUUGUUUUAAAAUGUGGUGUUAACCUCUCGGAUUAACUAGGGUUAGAAAAGCUCACUUUUUAUUUAAGGAAAGCCCACUCAAAGCUUUAUGUCUUUGGGACUUGAUAAGUGGGACAGUUUGGUUGGGGCGACCGCCUUUAAAAAAGUAACGAAGGCGGGCUUAAGAUAUAUAUUUAGUGAUGUCUGACUGCCAAGGGGAGAUCCUGAGCAGACACUUACUUUUUAGGUGGGUUUAAGUGACCCGUUAAUUUAGGGGGAAAUAGUUAACGAUAAACA
rnacentral:rRNA from 1 species